rnacentral:rRNA from 1 species
GACGAACGCUGGCGGCGUGCUUAACACAUGCAAGUCGAACGGAAAGGCCCUGCUUUUGUGGGGUGCUCGAGUGGCGAACGGGUGAGUAACACGUGAGUAACCUGCCCUUGACUUUGGGAUAACUUCAGGAAACUGGGGCUAAUACCGGAUAGGAGCUCCUGCUGCAUGGUGGGGGUGGGAAAGUUUCGGCGGUUGGUGAUGGACUCGCGGCUUAUCAGCUUGUUGGUGGGGUAGUGGCUUACCAAGGCUUUGAGGGGUAGCCGGCCUGAGAGGGUGACCGGCCACAUUGGGACUGAGAUACGGCCCAGACUCCUACGGGAGGCAGCAGUGGGGAAUAUUGCACGAUGGGCGGAAGCCUGAUGCAGCAACGCCGCGUGCGGGAUGACGGCCUUCGGGUUGUAAACCGCUUUCGCCUGUGACGAAGCGUGAGUGACGGUAAUGGGUAAAGAAGCACCGGCUAACUACGUG